AUUGAACGCUGGCGGCAGGCCUAACACAUGCAAGUCGAGCGGAUGACGGGAGCUUGCUCCUUGAUUCAGUGGCGGACGGGUGAGUAAUGCCUAGGAAUCUGCCUGGUAGUGGGGGACAACGUUUCGAAAGGAACGCUAAUACCGCAUACGUCCUACGGGAGAAAGCAGGGGACCUUCGGGCCUUGCGCUAUCAGAUGGGCUUAGGUCGGAUUAGCUAGUUGGUGGGGUAAUGGCUCACCAAGGCGACGAUCCGUAACUGGUCUGAGAGGAUGAUCAGUCACACUGGAACUGAGACACGGUCUAGACUCCUACGGGAGGCAGCAGUGGGGAAUAUUGGACAAUGGGCGAAAGCCUGAUCCAGCCAUGCCGCGUGUGUGAAGAAGGUCUUCGGAUUGUAAAGCACUUUAAGUUGGGAGGAAGGGCAGUAAGUUAAUACCUUGCUGUUUUGACGUUACCGACAGAAUAAGCACCGGCUAACUCUGUGCCAGCAGCCGCCGUAA
rnacentral:rRNA from 1 species